UGGAAUUAGAGGGAUGUUUGUUUUUAUUUUGCAAUAUGCUCGUUCCUUGUGUGUAUUUUAGACGCAGCUAACUGAAUAUCUAACCUUCAGUCCACUGAAAAUGGCUAAAUUACAGUCUUUGGGUGUGUUUGUUAAUACGCGUUUAACAGUGGCUACCGUAGAGAUUAUGGGGGCAGUAGAGAAAGUGGUAGCGGAGUACCAGGAGGAGAUUUCCCGAUCUAAAGAGGAGAAUGACCGGCUACGGAGACUGCUGCGGAUCAGACCGGAGAUGAAACGAUGUAGAUUAGACUCCCUCCAGUUCUCGCUUACCGUCUCCGAGGAGGAGGUUAACCCUGUGCAGCAGCAAUGUGACCAGGAGGAAUGGAACUCCAGUCUGGGGGCGGAUGACCCCGAGCCCAUGCAGAUUAAAGAGGAGGAAGUCGGGACCACUCAGGAGGCAGUGCAGCUUCAAGGACUGGAGGCUGACAUCAUAGAGUUCAUAUUCACUCCUCCCUGUGUGAAAAGUGAUUGCGGUAAGGAGGACCCACUUUUGAGUCUUCCCCAAACCGAGACUAUGGAGAAGAGAGAGCGUGACUCUAAACCAUUGGAUCUCAAACCUUUUGGCACUGUGACCCACCUUGACAUUACCAGUGACCCUCCAGAUAAUCAAGACAAUGUCUCCAGUCACAGCUCAGCCGUAAUUAACGAUCCAGUAGGAUUUGACAUAAGCCCACCAUUGGAUCCCAACACACCAUUAAGGAAACCUGGUACUAAAGCCAGCACCACGUAUAACAGCCCUCAUAUACUCCCCAUGCCCAGAGUUAGGGUCAGAACCACAGACAGAGGACUGUGUCAUCCAGAGACAUUUGAGAGAGCCUCCCAAGAUGCGCUGGUAGGGGGCCAGUCAGUCAGGAGUGCAGCGAAAGCACAUGGUGUAUGCCAUGUUGUUUAGGUACUGUCGGAGGAAGAAGGAUAGCGCCAAUGCCCGACUGCCAGCAUACAGAGCCCACAACAGAGUGUUUAGUCAGGAGCAGGAGAAUCAUCUGGAAGAUUAUCUGUUGAGGGCUGCAGAUAUAUACUUUGGAUUGAGUCCUAAAGAGGUACGUAGACUUGCAUACCACCUUGCCCAACACUACCACUGCAAGUACCCUGAGACCUGGGUUACCAAGGCGAUGGCAGGGAAAGACUGGUUCACCUCCUUCCUCAAAAGGCACCCCGGGCUCUCCAUCUGCCAGCCUCAAGCCACCAGUCUGUUGAGGGCGACAAGUUUCAAUGCAACGAAUGUUUCUCAGUUCUUCAACAACCUUUCUACUAUUCUGGGCCGCCACAACUUUGAGGCCAAAGAUGUGUGGAACAUGGAUGAGACCAGCACCACAACAGUCCAAGUUCCGGACAAAAUCAUUGCCAACAGAGGGAGGAAGCAGGUCGGACCAACAACAUCUGUAGAGAGGAACAAUGGUUACUAUGGCACUAGUGGUCAAUCCUCAAGGAAACAGCAUUCCACCUCACUUCAUCUUUCCCCACAAUAAGUACCUUGAUCACUUCCUACGUGAUGGGCCUACAGGUUGCAUGGGCACUGCUAGUGGUUCUGGCUGGAUGGGAGAAUGACUUCCUGGCCUUCUUGCAACAUUUUGUGAAGUACACCAGGAUGUCCCCACAGUCUCCACAGCUGCUGCUUCUGGAUAAUCAAGCCUCUCACUCCAGGGCAUGGACUACUGCAAAGCCAAUGGCGUCGUGCUGCAGGUGCAGGUACUGCAGCCCCUGGAUAGAAGUGUGUACGGCCCCCUGAGAAGAUACAUCAACAGUGCCAUUGAUUGCUGGAUAAAGACAUACCCUGGCAAAACGGUCUCCAUAUAUGACCUACCAGGAAUUGUGGCAACAGCCCGACCAUCUGCUGUGACACCAGGCAACGUCAUGGCUGGAUUUCACUGUACCGGCAUAUGGCCAUUAAACCCUACUGUCUUUACAGAAGCCGACUUCUCACCUGCUCAUUGUAACAGGUCGUCCUGCCCCCACCACCACAGAGGAGCUAGCACCAUAGCUGCAGUACCUGGGGGCUGUGGUGGCUCUUCACAGGCCCAGCCUAGGGUGGAGGUCAACGCAAGUCCUGUGGGGCAGUCUGUCUCUCCUGGGCAGGGGGAGGUCCAAGCCUAUUCCACCUCUGGGGAUCACCUCCACACUGUCUCAGAUCCAUCUACACCUGAAGAUCUCUUCUGUGAUUCUGCACUGAGUCAAUCCAUCCCCACAGAUGACGUCAGCCUUGUCUAAACGUCAGACUGUUACUAUGGUUACGCCAUGGAUCUGUCUGAAAGAAGUCGCUGUAAAAAAGACGCAAUAGUCUACAAGACAGAAUGUUGAAUACAUUGAUAUUUAAACGUACUUUACCGGUUUUCCGUGCUGUUGGUCAUUUUGGUGGUAGGAAGUGGAGAUGGGGUAUCCACAGGAAAGGGUUGUUUACACAACUUAUUACGGAGCCGGUAGGUUCUGUUGCUUGUAUAUUCCAUCUCCUGAUGCAUUCCACGCGAUGCACAAUUGGUUAAUAAUAGCCCAAUGUAACCGAAUGUUGUCGACCAAGUCCCGUUCCCUCGCAGUCACGGUGCUUGGGAAAUUUGCCAGCUGAUUGCAUGGGACAACGUUGGGUCUGUUCUUCAGUUAAAUUCUGCCAUUGUUUACAUAUUGUGCAUGUCGCGUGCGAAUUGCGUCAGCAUAGAAAAUACAAACCGUCAUACAGACCAGCGUACUGAAAGUCGGGUUACUAACACUACACUGAAUAUUUCUUCUCAGAUUACCUCCUAUAUAAGGACAAAAUCAGCAGACAACGGGUAACGUACGUUCAAAUGAAGUUAAUUCAACAGUCUGACUUGUGAUGCGACUGUUCACAAAAAAUGAGCCUACAUGUUGGAGACGAGAGAGGAGUCUUUCACUCUCAGAUUCGGAGAGGUUAACUUCAGCCCUGUAGCUGUCCGACCUUUUCCGAAGGCGAAGGACGACCACCAUUCUAACCGAUACCCCUGUCAAGGUGCCCUGGAGGAUGAGAAAACAGGUGAUACCAAAAGCCAAGCGCAGCUUGCAGAAACAGUGUGGCAAGAGCGCUCAGAAGAGAGCAACUCAUUCGGAUGAACUGGAAGUUGUGCGGAAGAUUUUGGCUCAUCCAUGCCAGGGCAGAUCUGGGCGCAGUGCUUGUUCAGUCAAGGGUGGGCACACAAGGCCUACACUGAAGGAGACGAGAUCUACAUCUGUCACUGAUAGACAGAGUAAACAAAUUACAGGUUUAUUCACUUUUGUUUUGCACUAUUUCAUUUUAAUUUCCUCAAACAAUUGACUAAUUUACAACAAGUGUUUGUUCCACACUUGUGUUAACAUUUUGUCUUUGUCUGAAGGUGUUACUUUUUGCACUCUUAGUUCAGAAAAACAGUUCUAUAUUUCUAAUUUUGUAAUUUUAUACCUCUUCUAUUGCCUGAUGUAUUUGUUUUACUUUGGGGGGGGGGGGGGGGGGUGUAAUUUAGAAGACGUUCUUAUCCUGAGCGAUUUACAGGAGCAGUUAGGGUUAAGGGCAUUUCGACAGAUGUUUCACCUAGUUGACUCGGAUUCGAACCAGCAACCUUUCGGCUCUUAACCGCUAAGCUACCUGGGUGCUGUUUUAGACAACAUUGUCUUUUGUGGAUCUAUCUCAUUCUCUUCAUUUAAGUCUUAAAGCUGCAAUAUGUAACUUUUUGGGCAACCCCCAAAAAUUCACAUAGAAAUGUUAGUUAUAGAUCUGUCAUUCUCGUUGAAAGCAAGUAUAAGAAGUGGUAGAUCUUUUCUAAGUGAGCUAUUUCUAUGCUCCCCAUUCUUAGGUUUUGUUUUUGCUUCUUGUUUUCGGUUUUAUACACCAGCAAACUGCUGAAAAUACAAUAUUUUUGGUAAUUGAAAAUUUAUACUGAACAAAAAUAUAAACGCAACAGGGAUAGGCCCAACCUCUUGGGAGCCAGGCCCGCCCACUAGGGAGCAAGGGCCAGCCAAUUAGAAUGAGUUUUUCACCAUAAAAGGGCUUUAUUACAGACAGAAAUACUGCUUAGUUUCAUCAGUUGUCUGAGUGGCUGGUCUCAGUCGAUCCCGCAGGUGAAGAAGCCGGAUGUGGAUGUCCUGGGCUGGUGUGGUUACACGUGGUCUGCGGUUGUGAGGCCGGUUGGAGUUACUGCCAAAUUCUCUAACACGGCAUUAUGGUAGAGAAAUUAACAUUCAAUUCUUUGGCAACAGCACUGGUGGACAUUCCUGCAGUCAGCAUGCCAAUUGCACACUCCCUCAAAACUUAAGACAUCUGUGGCAUUGUGUUGUGUAACAAAACUGCACGUUUUAGUGGCCUUUUACUGUCCACAGCACAAGGUGCACUUGUGUAAUAAUCAUGCGGUUUAAUCAGCUUCUUGAUAUGCCAAUCUAAACAAAUUCGUGGCCACAAUUUGUGAGAAAUAAACCUUUUGUGCGUAUGGAACAUUUGUGAUCUUUUAUAUCAGCUCAUGAAACAUGGGACCAACAUUUUACAUGCUACGUUUAUAUUUUUGUUCAGUAUAUUUGUAUCUCUGUGUCUCUCUCUCUGCCCCCCCCUCUCUCUGCCCCCCCCCUCUCUCUGCCCCUCUCUCUCUCUCUCUCUCUCUCACAUUACAUCAUUUCACAAAUAGUUUAACCUUUACUCAUUCAGUUUAUACAAGAAUUAGAUGCAAACUCUGUAAUUGAGAAAUAUACACAUUCAGAGAUAUAGUUAUGUGUGCUUCCUGUCCUCUCUGAGGUCACAAUGAAACACACUCGUCAUAUCUGUCCUUUAAGUGUCCAUGGACCAUUCCAACCUUCUCACAAAUGGACAUUUUGUUUCAAAUUCCCAUUUUAGGGAUUUAGGAGUUCGCCAUGUGAAAUCCUUUGUUCUUUCUGUGUCUCUCCUUAUGCAUGACCAGGGGGAGAGAGUCUCUGGCAGGAAUUUAUGUCCUGAGAUAACAGAACCUGGGUGUAGGAGAGAGAGAGAGAGGGAAGCCAUGAUCUAGACCCAGAAAGGGCCACGUCAUGACAUACUCAAAGUGGAAGAUUCAUUCUAACAUUUAAAAAAAUGUAUACAAAAUAAAACACUAACUUCACCAUCUA